rnacentral:lncRNA from 1 species
GAUGCAAUUCCUAUUUCUAUUGAAACCCUAAUAAUUCUGCAGCCGAAAUCUGUAGUCCAUUUUUCAGAUCUUUCUUUAAUAACUUUUGAGAAAAAUAUUGAGAUAAAUGGGGCUGUGAUUACAAAGAGAGAGGAUUGAGUGGGGUUUUCCCUUGUCGAAGUUUGGAGAGAAGAUUGAAGAUCGAGAUUGAUAUAUUAAGAUUCGGGGAUGAAUCGAAACUUGCUGCCCCCUUGUUUGUUGCAAGGGCUGGCUUAUGGCAGCUUGUGAAUUUGCCCCAAAUCAAUUUCAUCUCUUUUGUAUUCUCUUCUCUUUCUUCGAUCUGGAUCUUUCCCACUAUGACUACCUUUUUAAAUUUACACUUGAUAUGAGCUCCCCUUGUGUUUACAAAACACGUUCGUAUGAAUCUGUAUACUUAGGAGUUUGGAGUUAGUUUUGCAUGUGUUGGUAUAUUAUGGGUGAGACGAUUUUGGGUGCUCACUCUAUCGCAACAGUGCAUAAAGAAAAAGCUUUAUUUCUCUUGGAUUUUCACUGUGAUCAGAGAAAUUCCAGGGGAAAUUAAGCAGCGGCCAGACAACCGUAGAGAUGGGUUUUCCACAGAUGAAAUGAAUUGUUCAUUCAAUUUGUCUACUUAUUCCAUCUCAUAUUUUUCUUUUCCUAAUUUUGAUUUUUUCGAAAAUGCAUUUUAAAACUGUUCAUUGUUAAUUAAUCGUUGGUAGGGAUUAUUAUUCUGUUUAUGCAGUGGUUUUUAUUAUUGAUCUUUGUUUUGCAAUUUUAAAUCACAAGGGAUAUUGUUUUUAAAAUAAAGUUUGCAUUGAAUCGGAAUUUGUUGCAUUAUUUUCUCAAUAUUACGUACCUAAGAACAUGAGGAAGAUAGGGGUAAGGUUAUGUUACGUCUUGCUUGCAAUCGCAUUGUAGUGGUUCGAGUUUUGAAACAUGGAAUUAGAUUUCUUGUUGUCGUAAUGUACAAACAGCUUUUAUUCCUUAACCUGUUGGGACAUAUCUCGCGAUUUAAUUCCUUCAUAAAGCUCUAUGCGUGGGACGGUGGGGUUCUCAAGGAUGGGG